ACCGGGAGUGGUUGGAGGGCGCUGCUCUCGGAGGACCGGGAGUGGUUGGAGGGCGCUGCUCUCGGAGGACCGGGAGUGGUUGGAGGGCGCUGCUCUCGGAGGACCGGGAGUGGUUGGAGGUUGCAGCGCUUGGAGGACUGGGGGAGCCGGCGUAACUUGGCUUAGCCCUGAUAGAAGCGAGAAAUCCAAUGAUGGAGAGGAAGAAGCUGUUCCUUAAACUCUGAGUGUGUGUCUUCAAGCUCCUGUACCUCCUCCUUGAUGGUAGCAAUGAGAAAAGGGCAUGUCCUGGGUGAUGGGGGUCCAUAAUGAUGGAUACCACCUUUUUGAGACACCACCUUUUGAAGACGUUCUGGAUGUUGGGGAGGUUAGUGCCCAUGAUGGAGCUGGUUGAGUUUACAACUUUCUGCAGAUUUUCCAAUCUUGUACAGUGGCCCCUCCACACCAAACAGUGAUGCAAUCAGUUAGAAUGCUCAAAUUUAUAUAGAUGUACAUCUGUAGGAAUUUGAGAGUGACUUUGGUGACAUACCAAUUCUCCUCAAAUAGCUGCUGCCUCUUUUUAAUUGCAUUAAUAUGUUGGGAGCAGCAUAGAUCCUCAGAGAUGUUUACACCCAGAAACUAGAAACUGCUCACCCUUUCCACUUCUGAUCCCUUGAUGAGGAUAGGUGUGUAUUCCCUCAAUUUCCCCUUCCUGAAGUCCACAAUCUAUUUUGGUCUUACUGACAUUGAGUGCAAGGUUGUUUCUGUGACACCAGUCAACCAGCUGAUCUAUUGCUCCUCGUCACUGUCUGAAAUUCUGCCAGCAAUAGUUAUGUCAUUGGCAAAUUUAAAGAUGGUGUCUGAGCUGUACCUAGCCACACCAACAUGGAUGUAGAGAGAGCAGAGCAGUGGGCUAAACAUGCACCAUUGUUGAUUAUCAGCAAGAAAGAGGUGGUAUUUUUAAUCUGCAUAGAUUGUGGUCUCCCUGUGAGGAAGUCAAGGAUCCGGCUGCAGAAGGAGGUACGGAGGCCCAGGUUUUGGAGCUUGUUGGUUAGAAUGUGUAGAACACUGAGGUGUAAUCAAUAAACAAUAGGUAUUACUAUUGUCCAGGUCGAGUGGAGAGCCAAUGAGAUUGCUUCUGCUGUAGACCUAUUAUGGCAAUAGGCAAAUUGCAGUGGGUUCAGGCAGGAGUUGAUUCUAACUUUGACCUACCUCUCAAAACACUUUAUCACAGCAGAUGUGAGAGCCACUGGGCAAACGAUGUUGAGAUGGCUCACCCUGUUCUUCUUGGGCUCUGGUAUGAUUGUCUCCCCUUGAAGCAGGGCGACGGCAGCAGUGAGAGACUGACGAUGCCCUUGAACACCCCCGCCAGGUGGUUGGCGCAGGUUUUCAGAGCCCUACCAGGUACACCAUCAGGACCUGACACCUUGAAAGUUGUUCCCAUGUCGACCUCCAAGACAGCGAUCACAGGGUCACCAGGAUCCACACAGGGUAUAGUUUUGUUCUCCCUUUUAUAGCGAGCAUAAAAGGUGUUGAGCUCAUCUGGUGGUGAAGCAUCACUACCAUUCACGAUGUUGGGUUUCACUUUGUAGGAAGUAAUGGCCUGUAAACCCUGCCUGAGCUGAUGUGCAUCUGAUUCAGUCUCUACCUAUAUUGGAAUUAAAUUGGAGUUAUUAACUUCAAACAUUCUGCAUAAUCAUUCAAAGAGCUGUAUAACUCAUCUCCUUCUACCUUAGGCCACAAACUUAUCAAUCACCCAUGCUGUGGACACUUUCUGCUAGCCCAAGAUCUGUAUGUUCCACGACCACUGGCAUUGGUGUGUAAAUGUAGGAGGGGACUAUGUUGAAAAAUAAAUGUGCUAGGUUUUCUAAAAUUGACUCCUUCUACCUUAGGCCAUGAACUUAUCAAUCACCCCUCGUAGUUCUAGAUAACCAAUCUUGAAUGUCACAGAUCUAGCCCUCAACAGACUAUAAAUCUCCUGGUUCAUCUAUGACUUUUGGUUUGGGUAUGUCCGGAAUGUUCUUGAAGACAAGCUUUCAUCCACUCAGGUCCUGAUGAAGUCAAUGACAACUGUGGCGUAUUCAUUCAGGCUCGAAGAUGAAUCCUUGAAUAUUGUCCUGUCGACUGACUCAAAGCAAUUCUGUGAGUACUCCUCCACCUCCCUUGCCCAUGCUUUCUUGGUCCUCACCACUGGUGCUACAGUCUCUUGUCCAUGCCUAUACUCUGGGAGUAGAAGUUCAGCCAGGUGAUCGGACUUUCCAAAGUGUGGAUGAGAGAUGGAACAUGGUGGUAUAACAGUGAGAGUUAGUUCUUCUGAUUUCACAGGUAAUAUAUUGGUGGCAAUUGUUCAGAGUCUUUUUCAAUCUGGCCUGGUUGAAAAGAUAGGCAAGGCAUCUGGGUGUGCAGCUUUGUGCUCAGUUUCUCCAAUGCCUGCCUGACGUUGGCCUGAUGUGGAAUGUACACUGUAACCAGGAUGAUGGCAGAAAACUCCCUUGGCAGAUAAAAAGGAUGAAAUAUGAUCACUGGAUGUUCCGGGUUGGAUGAGCAGGACUUUGAGAGAACCACUAUGAGUUAAUCAUAAAGCAUACUCCACCUCCUCUACCUUUAAAAGACUGAGCUGUUUUGUCUUUGUAGAGAAUGGUGAAUCCAUCUGAAAUGGUGGGGGAGAGCCAUGUUUCCUUGAAGUAAAGUACACAGCAGUCAGAGAUGUCUCUCUGGAGCAGCAAUCUUGCUCUGAGAUCUUCAGAUUUAUCUUGAGAGACUGUACAUUCACCAGUAGGACAGUCAGGACUGGAAGUCUAAGGCCUCUGGAUUUCAAACAUACCAGAAGUGUAGCAUCCCAGCUCCUGUGUUGUUAAAGGGGAACUGCACUUGAGACAGGAGUCUGCCAUCUGAGGUUCAUUAAUUUUGAGUACUGAUAGAUAUUUUAAACAUCCUAAGAUGACAUUGCUUACUGAAUCUAUGGCUGUGCCAGGAUUUCAGCUGUAGUGGUCCUAAAUGUGAAUUUUUAAUGAUUCCAAUUGGAGCUACAUGCAUACAAUCACUAAUAAAUGGUGCCGUUGUAGGCUUUUUUUUCAAUAGCUGGACACCUCUGGCAAGGCCACUAUUUGUUGCCCUACAUAAUUGCCCCUGAGGGGUUGGGGUGAGUAGCUUUCUUGAGCCCCCACAAUUCUUCUGUUGAAGGGAUUUCCAGAAUUGUUGAGGAGGGAGUACUAGGACCCAGACUGGUGAUAUAUUUGCAAGUCAGGGAACCUGUAGUACUUAAUAGUAAAAUCUACAGCUUCAGGGAAUUCUCCACCCAUUUGUGAUAUUGGUUCAGCUUGUUUGUUUCAUUUUCCCUCUGGAGUGGAGGACUUGCUCUGCAUUUCACAACUCCCAUAUAGUUUCGUAUAGUUUAUAUUCUCACACGAACUGCUUUCUUUCACUCACUGACCUGAUAAUCUUGUUUACAACUUACCUCAGACUCACCCCAGUGUUACUGUAUCAGAAACACGCCCACCCCUCAAUGACCACCUUCCCUGCAGCUUAAUAAUCUCCCAAUUCUGACAAAGGAUCUUUGACACAAAAUAUUAACUCUGUUUCUGUUCCCACACAUCAAAGUGCAAAGUAAAUUUAUCAUCAAUGUACAUAAAUGUCACUAUAUACAACCCUGAUAUUCAUUUACUUGUGUGUAUUCACAGUAAGUACAACAAGUACAGUGGAAUCAAUGGCAGGCUGCACCCAGCAGGAUGGACAAAAAGCAGUGUGCAAAAGACAUCAAACUGUGUAGAUACUAAAGUGAAAAAAUAUAAUAAUAAAAAAUAAGCAAGAAAUAUCAAGAAUGUGAAUGAAGAGUCCUUGAAAGUGAAUCCAUUGGUUGUGGAACAAGUGAAGUUGAGUAAAUUAAUCCCCUCUGGUUCAAGAGCCUGAUGGUUGAGGGGUAAUAACUGUUCCUGAACCUGGUGAUGUGGGUCCUGAAGCUCCUGUACCUUCUUCCUGAGGCAGCAGUGAGAAGAGAGCAAGGCCUGAGUGGUGAUGGUCCCUGAUGAAGCAAGCAGCUUUCCUGUGACAUCGCUCUGUGUAGAUGUGCUCAGCGAUGAAGAGCACAUCUUACUUUUGAUGGACUGGGCUAUAUCCAUUUCUUUUUGUAGGAUUUUCCAUUCAAGGGCAUUGGUGUUUCCAUACCAGGCUGUGAUGCAACCUGUCAAUGUACUCUCCACCACACAUCUAUAGAAGUUUGCCAAAGUCUUAGAUGUCAUGCCAAAUCUUCACAAACUCAUAAGAAAAUAGAGGUUCUGCCGUGCUUUCUUUGUAAUUGAUCUUGUAUACUGGGUCCAGGACAGGUCCUCUGAAAUAAUAACACUGAGGAGUUUAAAGUUACUGUCCCUCUCCACCUUUGAUGAGGACUGGUUCCUGAUAUUGAGGAUAGGUGGUCUGACUCUCUUGUUGGAAAUUGUCAUUUCCUGGCACUCCUGUCGCGCACAUUGGCAGCAUGGCUGGCAAUCCGGGUUCAAUUCCACCCCAGUUUGUAUGUUCUCCUCGUGAACAUGUGGGGUUCCUCCACGUGUUUCGCCUGCUCCUUUAAACCAACCAAGUCCUGGUU